UCUUUGUGUGUGUGUGUGUGUCUGUGAGGAAAAUGCUAUUCUAGUUUACUCUAUUCCACCACUCUUCAGUAAAAGUAUACCGGUAGCCCAGGUCCUUAGG